rnacentral:rRNA from 1 species
GACGAACGCUGGCGGCGUGCCUAAUACAUGCAAGUAGAACGCUGAAGGAGGAGCUUGCUUCUCUGGAUGAGUUGCGAACGGGUGAGUAACGCGUAGGUAACCUGCCUGGUAGCGGGGGAUAACUAUUGGAAACGAUAGCCAAUACCGCAUAAGAAUAGAUGUCGCAUGACAUUUGCUUAAAAGGUGCAAUUGCAUCACUACCAGAUGGACCUGCGUUGUAUUAGCUAGUUGGUGAGGUAACGGCUCACCAAGGCAACGAUACAUAGCCGACCUGAGAGGGUGAUCGGCCACACUGGGACUGAGACACGGCCCAGACUCCUACGGGAGGCAGCAGUAGGGAAUCUUCGGCAAUGGACGGAAGUCUGACCGAGCAACGCCGCGUGAGUGAAGAAGGUUUUCGGAUCGUAAAGCUCUGUUGUAAGAGAAGAACGAGUGUGAGAGUGGAAAGUUCACACUGUGACGGUAUCUUACCAGAAAGGGACGGCUAACUACGUG